UGUCAUCAGACCUGUCUGAUUUCCAAUUUCCAAAAACUAUUUUAUUAUUAUUAUUAUUAUUAUUAAAAACUAGACAAUCUAAACAUUCAGAAACAUUUCUCUGGUUUCAGUUUACAAAUUGAUUGCUGAUUCUUUAAUAAUUAGAGUUUGAUGAAAUGUUCUCCUGCAGCUCUUUUCUCACAGGUGCAGAUAAAGAGGAGAUUUAUAUUCAGUGUAAAGGAGAAAUCACAUCAGCUUCAUAAACAAACCUUCUACUGUUUAACACUGAAGUUAUCUAAAUGGUAUUAGCUGCAGUAAUUUAUGCAAAUAUUUCAGCACAGGAUAUUUAAAUUUAUCUAAUAUGUUUAUGCUGAUCCAGACACAUUUUAAUGGAUCAUCAUCAGCUAAAGUAAAACUGAUCAUGUUGCAGCUCUGCAGCUUUUCACUGCAUGUGUGAGUUUGACAGAUGAUUUGGCAGCAUGAGUGAUUCUGUCCUGACACCUGGGCUGGUACCAUACAGAUUCAUU